UACAGAGGUCUCAAGCGUUGUUCGGAAUUACUGGGCGUAAAGGGUGCGCAGGCCGCGCGGGCAGUCAAAUGUGUAAUUCAGGGGCUCAACCCCUGCACUGCGCUUGAUACUUCCGCGCUCGAGCUUUGGAGGGGAGACUGGAAUACUUGGUGUAGCAGUGAAAUGCGUAGAUAUCAAGUGGAACACCAGUGGCGAAGGCGAGUCUCUGGACAUUUCCUGACGCUGAGGCACGAAAGCCAGGGGAGCAAACGGG
rnacentral:rRNA from 1 species